UACGUAGGGUGCAAGCGUUAAUCGGAAUUACUGGGCGUAAAGCGUACGCAGGCGGCUAUGUAAGACAGGUGUGAAAUCCCCGGGCUUAACCUGGGAACUGCAUUUGUGACUGCAUAGCUAGAGUCUGUCAGAGGGGGGUGGAAUUCCACGUGUAGCAGUGAAAUGCGUAGAGAUGUGGAGGAACACCGAUGGCGAAGGCAGCCCCCUGGGAUAAGACUGACGCUCAUGUACGAAAGCGUGGGGAGCAAACAGG
rnacentral:rRNA from 1 species